rnacentral:rRNA from 1 species
AUUGAACGCUGGCGGCAGGCCUAACACAUGCAAGUCGAGCGGCAGCGGGAAAGUAGCUUGCUACUUUUGCCGGCGAGCGGCGGACGGGUGAGUAAUGCCUGGGAAAUUGCCCAGUCGAGGGGGAUAACAGUUGGAAACGACUGCUAAUACCGCAUACGCCCUACGGGGGAAAGCAGGGGACCUGCGGGCCUUGCGCGAUUGGAUAUGCCCAGGUGGGAUUAGCUAGUUGGUGAGGUAAUGGCUCACCAAGGCUACGAUCCCUAGCUGGUCUGAGAGGAUGAUCAGCCACACUGGAACUGAGACACGGUCCAGACUCCUACGGGAGGCAGCAGUGGGGAAUAUUGCACAAUGGGGGAAACCCUGAUGCAGCCAUGCCGCGUGUGUGAAGAAGGCCUUCGGGUUGUAAAGCACUUUCAGCGAGGAGGAAAGGUUGUUGGCUAAUAUCCAACAGCUGUGACGUUACUCGCAGAAGAAGCACCGGCUAACUCCGUGCCAGCCGCCGCCGUAAAAC